rnacentral:rRNA from 1 species
AACGAACGCUGGCGGCAGGCCUAACACAUGCAAGUCGAACGCCCUGGCAACAGGGAGUGGCAGACGGGUGAGUAACGCGUGGGAACGUGCCCUUCGGUUCGGAAUAACUCAGGGAAACUUGAGCUAAUACCGGAUACGUGCGAGAGCAGAAAGAUUUAUCGCCGAAGGAUCGGCCCGCGUCCGAUUAGCUAGUUGGUGAGGUAACGGCUCACCAAGGCGACGAUCGGUAGCUGGUCUGAGAGGAUGAUCAGCCACACUGGGACUGAGACACGGCCCAGACUCCUACGGGGGGCAGCAGUGGGGAAUAUUGGACAAUGGGCGAAAGCUUGAUCCAGCAAUACUCCAUGAGUGAUGACGGCUUUCAAGUUGUAAAACUCUUUAGUUGAUGAGGAUUGUGACAGUAGUCAACAGAAUAGCCCCGGCUAACUUCGUGCCAGCCGCCGCGGUAA